rnacentral:piRNA from 1 species
UCCAAGCAACACUACUAUUGCAGGACUUCC